rnacentral:rRNA from 1 species
CCGAGCAACGCCGCGUGAGUGAAGAAGGUUUUCGGAUCGUAAAACUCUGUUGUUAGAGAAGAACGAAGAGAAGAGUGGAAAGCUCCUCGUGUGACGGUAUCUAACCAGAAAGGGACGGCUAACUACGUGCCAGCAGCCGCGGUAAUACGUAGGUCCCGAGCGUUGUCCGGAUUUAUUGGGCGUAAAGCGAGCGCAGGUGGUUUAUUAAGUCUGGUGUAAAAGGCAGUGGCUCAACCAUUGUAUGCAUUGGAAACUGGUAGACUUGAGUGCGGGAAAGGAGAGUGGAAUUCCAUGAGUAGCGGUGAAAUGCGU